AACGCACCUUGCGCCCUUUGGUAUUCCGAAGGGCAUGCCUGUUUGAGUGUCAUUAAAUUCUCAACCUUGCAAGAUUUUUCUUGUGAGGCUUGGAUGUGAGGGCUUCUGCUGGCUUCCUUCAGUUGGAUGGUCUGCUCCCUUAAAAUUCAUUAGUGGGAUCCUUUGUGGAUGGUCACUUGGUGUGAUAAUUAUCUACGCCGCCUGACUCUGAAACAAGACUUGUGGGGACCUGCUUAUAACCGUCUCUUCGGAGACAACUCUUUUUGACAAUUUGACCUCAAAUCAGGUAGGACUACCCGCUGAACUUAA
rnacentral:misc_RNA from 1 species